AAACAGUCAUGUCAGAAACACCAGGCCCAGGGGUCUAAACAGUCAUGUCAGAAACACUAGGGACUGACAACAGGCCCAAGGGGCCUUAACAGUCAUCUAAUCACAACUGUACCCAGUAGCAGUGGCAACCAUUACACAAUACAAUAGUUGGAUCACUUACUAGGUAGAACUGUAAAUUCAACUAUCUCUUGCUACAUCUUGGAUUUCAUAACAAUUAAAAUGAUAAUAUAUUGAUGAUGAAGGGGAUCACAUCUUUAAUCACAAAUGAAAGGCUUAACCAUAGAUUUCCCUUAAUACUAUAUAUAUAUGUGAUAUGAAAAUGAUAGAAUCCGUUAUCUGUAUGAACUCAACCUAUCUUAGCUGAGGACCGCCAUUCUGUGACCGACAGAAUGUUAGUUGGAGGCUAGUCACCUAUAAACAAAACUAAGGUACAAUCCAUGAAAUACUGGUAACAAACUUCAACUGUCGAAAACCAAGAUGGACCAAGUGAGCUAAAAACUACGAACGAUUUUCAACAGUAUCUUGCCGUAACAUCACACCUAGACCUUUCAGGUGUAUGCUAAAUAGGCUGUGGGGUGUUUACUUCCAGGAUGGACCAAGAUGCCUUUCGAAAACUUUAUAGCGAAUUAUGAUACCAAAACGUACUUCAAAAUAUGAUAAAAUGAACAAAAAUUAAAAAAAAAAAUAAAAAAAAAAAACGAAAACAAAUAAUGUCAACAACAACAUAAAAUUGCUAUAACCUUCUAAACUGUUAAUUCCGAGAGGGACCCCAGUGGAACAGCUCAUGAUUACCAGCCAGGUAAAAAUGUGUUUUUGAAGAUUGUGGCUAUAUGGUGACCCUGUUGGAUAUUGGGCACACCUGAAAAACUGCUAGGAUUGGAUCAUAACCGGACCAUUUCAUAACGCAUGGUCUUAAAUUUGCUGAAAUAUAACAUUAAAUCAGAAUCAUCUCGAGGCGAGGAAGGUUUCAGAUAAAUCCCAGUUAAAAUUGGAGAAGUUUAAAAUGUCAAUAGUUUACACAGAGCGCACAAUGACAGACGGAACAUGAUGACUAUAUGUUGAAUGAUCAUGACUUAAUCAAAUCCCACCUCAACUUGUUUCCUCAAAUACAUUAUUUAGUAGAAUUACACAGGAUUUUUUUUAUGGUCCCUGGUUUUCCACAGAACGAGUUCAACAUACAUAUAAAAUGAUUCGUCUUCAAAACCACAGAUUUAUCCUGCUCUUUGAAUGACACACAUUAUCAUGAAAUCAGUAAAUGUCAGAAAUAGCUUAGAAAUUUCACAGCUAGGUGGUAUUGUGAUUUGGUAUUGACUGGUUUCAUAAUCCCUUAAUUCAUUGGAUUGUACAUGUUUAGGUGUCAGAGGUUAAUAUCUUUUCAAAAAUAAACUACAAUAAAUCGCAAUUUUAGUGAGAUAUAUUUUCAAGUGAAUGCAACAGGUGAAAUCCAAGCUAAUGUUUCAUCACACUUUUAAGCUUAUAAUCAAAGGACAUAAUAUAUCGUAUUCCUUUCAUCAAUCAAAAUUCUUACAAGUAAGUCUAAGGGAAUCUUGUUGCAAAAAUAAAUAUUUGUGAAAAUGAAGUAAUUUACAGUAGAAUGUCUGACCUUUGUCCCUUUCUGUAUGUUUACAUACAUAUGAGCCAACAUCUUGACUAUAAAGAUGUAUCACCAGUAGUUUUGUCACUUCCAAUCAGAAUCAUUCAUUUUUGUUCCCGCCACCGCUAAAUCUGGCAGUACUUAAGGCGUUUAGCAUGCUCAUGAGUCAAGAAUCAAUUUGGGCACUAUAUAUGUGGAAAGGUAACUAGGAACUUCACCAGUGUACAAAGUUCAGUGAUUUCAUUCCAAUUUGCAUCGGGUUAGAUUUUUCAACAAAGAUAAUUUUUAUCAUGAGUGGAGAUCCCAAAUUCUACACCGCAACCAAGAUAUCACAUCAAAAUAAUCUACACAAAGCACUUCCCAAGAAGCAUCUAAACUUCACAAAUGAGGAAUUUUUUCUUUUAUUAGAUGCAAUCGUGAACAUUUAUGUCUAUUCGGUACACAGAAAUUCAGACGGAUUACAUUCAUAAGUAAUCGUGUGUGAUAAUAUAUCUUCCGUGUCAUUGUAGAGUUAAAGAUCUUGCUCUUGGUAAAAACUAUCGGUUAAAAAUCUUCAGCAGAUAAAAGUUGACAGUUCGAAUGAAAUCGCCCAAUUUUGCCUUACAUUUAUAUAAUAUAUAUAUAUGUCAUAAUCAAUCUUAGGCAUAUAAUGAAUGUUUGACGAAUGAGCAUGCAUACCUGAGGGCUUACCCUUAUCCAGCAGUGACAGAUAUGAAGUGGCGUACUGAGGCUAUAACUGUGAGAGCUGGGUAGUGGCAUAGCUAUAUCUUCAUGAGAGCUGGGUAGUGGCAUAGUUAUAUCUUCAUGAGAGCUGGGUAGUGGCAUAGUUAUAUCUGUGAGAGCUGGGUAGUGGCAUAGCUAUAUCUUCAUGAGAACUGGGUAGUGGCAUAGCUAUAUCUGUGAGAGCUGGGUAGUGGUAUAGCUAUAUCUGUGAGAGCUGGGUAGUGGCAUAGCUAUAUCUGUGAGAGCUGGGUAGUGGCAUAGCUAUAUCUGUGAGAGCUGGGUAGUGGCAUAGCUAUAUCUUCAUGAGAGCUGGGUAGUGGCAUAGUUAUAUCUUCAUGAGAACUGGGUAGUGGUAUAGUUAUAUCUUCAUGAGAGCUGGGUAGUGGUAUAGUUAUAUCUUCAUGAGAACUGGGUAGUGGCAUAGCUAUAUCUUCAUGAGAACUGGGUAGUGGUAUAGUUAUAUCUUCAUGAGAGCUGGGUAGUGGUAUAGUUAUAUCUUCAUGAGAGCUGGGUAGUGGUAUAUUUAUAUCUUCAUGAGAGCUGGGUAGUGGUAUAUUUAUAUCUUCAUGAGAGCUGGGUAGUGGUAUAUUUAUAUCUUCAUGAGAGCUGGGUAGUGGCACAGCCACAUUUGUGAUAGCUGGGUAGUGGCAUAGUUAUAUCUUCAUGAGAACUAGGUAGUGGCAUAGUUAUAUCUUCAUGAGAACUAGGUAGUGGCAUAGUUAUAUCUUCAUGAGAGCUGGGUAGUGGUAUAGUUAUAUCUUCAUGAGAGCUGGGUAGUGGCAUAGUUAUAUCUUCAUGAGAGCUGGGUAGUGGCAUAGCUAUAUCUUCAUGUGAGAGCUGGGUAGUGGCAUAGUUAUAUCUUCAUGAGAGCUGGGUAGUGGCAUAGCUAUAUCUUCAUGUGAGAGCUGGGUAGUGGCAUAGUUAUAUCUUCAUGAGAACUGGGUAGUGGCAUAACUAUAUCUUCAUGAGAACUGGGAAGUGGCAUAACUAUAUCUGAGAGCUGGGUAGUGGCAUAGCUACAUAUUCAUGUGAGAACUGGGGAGUGGCAUAGCCAAUCUGUGAGAGCUAAUUCAAGAAUUCUGUGACAGAAGUCAACUGUUGAUGAAACAUCUUAAAUCACAGGACUUUGAAAUCAGCAGGUUGGUGGAGAUUGUGGGGGAAUUUUAUAGUCAACAUCAGGACCACAUCAGGAAUUAUUUGAUUCGCUAGUGUGAAAUGAAGUAAUGUUUGAUGUUCAGCAAUAUGUUAAACUGAUUCUCAUUGAGAAUGUGACAAUGCAUGAAAUGAAGAUUUGUAUUGUUGUCCGCGAUGAAGAAACGGUUUUUCCCGAACACCAGGCCUCAAUCUCCUUUUAAGGGUCUCCAUGUAAACCUACAUUUUCCUUUUGUUUUAUUGGAGUAAGUAUAACUAUGGUUUACAAUAUCCCAAUUCUCACAACUAUCCCAGUCCAGUUUCUAUCUAGCAGCCACUUCAGGAGUUUGGUGGCGACUCAUGAUAUCAUUGGAAAUGUAGCCUGGCUUUUAUCACAUUAGACCCGAGUAAAAUGUAAUAAAUCAGCAGUCAAACAUAC